rnacentral:lncRNA from 1 species
AGGACCUGCAAGCACAGGAUCGUGCCCAUCGGAUUGGGCAGCAGAAUGAGGUGCGUGUGCUUCGCCUGUGCACCGUCAACAGUGUGGAAGAGAAGAUACUGGCUGCUGCUAAAUACAAACUCAAUGUGGAUCAGAAGGUCAUCCAGGCAGGCAUGUUUGACCAGAAGUCUUCCAGCCAUGAGAGGCGUGCCUUCCUGCAGGCCAUCCUGGAGCACGAGGAGCAGGACGAGAGCAGACACUGCAGCACGGGCAGCGGCAGUGCCAGCUUCGCCCACACUGCCCCUCCGCCAGCGGGCGUCAACCCCGACUUGGAGGAGCCACCUCUAAAGGAGGAAGAUGAGGUGCCUGAUGAUGAGACCGUCAACCAGAUGAUUGCCCGGCACGAAGAAGAAUUUGACCUCUUCAUGCGCAUGGACUUGGACCGCCGGCGUGAAGAAGCCCGCAACCCCAAGCGGAAGCCACGCCUGAUGGAAGAGGAUGAGCUUCCAUCCUGGAUCAUCAAGGAUGAUGCAGAGGUAGAGCGGCUGACAUGUGAAGAGGAAGAGGAAAAGAUGUUCGGCCGUGGUUCUCGCCACCGCAAGGAGGUAGACUACAGCGACUCACUGACAGAGAAGCAGUGGCUCAAGGCUAUCGAGGAGGGCACGCUGGAGGAGAUCGAAGAGGAGGUCCGGCAGAAGAAAUCUUCACGUAAGCGUAAGCGAGACAGCGAGGCCGGCUCCUCCACCCCGACCACCAGCACCCGCAGCCGUGACAAGGACGAGGAGAGCAAAAAGCAGAAGAAACGUGGGCGGCCACCUGCCGAGAAGCUGUCCCCAAACCCACCUAACCUCACCAAGAAGAUGAAGAAGAUCGU